rfam:TPA: Bos taurus chromosome X, whole genome shotgun sequence.
UCCCUGGUGCUCCAGUGGCUAAGAUGCUGCACUCCCAAUGCAGGGGGCCUGGGUUCAAUACCCAGUCAGGGAA